UACAGAGGGUGCGAGCGUUGUCCGGAAUCACUGGGCGUAAAGGGCGCGUAGGCGGCUUGAUAAGGUUGCGGUGAAAGCCCGGGGCUCAACCCCGGGUCGGCCGUGGCAACUGUCGAGCUGGAGCACUGUAGAGGCAGGUGGAAUUCCAGGUGUAGCGGUGAAAUGCGUAGAUAUCUGGAGGAACACCGGUGGCGAAGGCGGCAUCCUGGACCGGCAUUGACGCUGAGGAGCGAAAGCCAGGGGAGCAAACGGG
rnacentral:rRNA from 1 species